rnacentral:siRNA from 1 species
UUAACUGACCUACCGAGAAUCG